UAUAUCCACCAAUUUCAAGCUUCCAAUAGGAUUGAAGACGUGGAUAGCAUGGUCGAUGAGUUUAGACACGAGAAUUCCGUAGCCGUAUAUUGGAUCUGGAAUGACUGGCUAGCACCGAUUCAUGCGCCUGGUGAAUCUGUCGCAAGUGCCUACUUCUGUGGCCCGGUUGUGCUUUGGACAUUUUACACACACGUAGUGAGAAACUCUCGGAAGUACUUCAUCCUGCGGAAUUCCUGUUUUUUUCUUGAUGCAUAAAUGACUAAUUGGACCUUAAGGAACGCGAGAGAAACAGCAAAGAGAGCAAAGAACCAGCUGCAGGGAAAUUACCAAGGAUUGCAAAAAAGGCGUUCAAAUUGGCGUGGGAUCCAUCACAGAAGAAAAUACGAAGAGUAUACGGGAAAAUUUAUUUAUUUUUACGUAUAUUAUUUUUUAUUUAUUUAUC